AUUGAACGCUGGCGGCAGGCCUAACACAUGCAAGUCGAGCGGAUGAAGGGAGCUUGCUCCUGGAUUCAGCGGCGGACGGGUGAGUAAUGCCUAGGAAUCUGCCUGGUAGUGGGGGAUAACGUCCGGAAACGGGCGCUAAUACCGCAUACGUCCUGAGGGAGAAAGUGGGGGAUCUUCGGACCUCACGCUAUCAGAUGAGCCUAGGUCGGAUUAGCUAGUUGGUGGGGUAAAGGCCUACCAAGGCGACGAUCCGUAACUGGUCUGAGAGGAUGAUCAGUCACACUGGAACUGAGACACGGUCCAGACUCCUACGGGAGGCAGCAGUGGGGAAUAUUGGACAGUGGGCGAAAGCCUGAUCCAGCCAUGCCGCGUGUGUGAAGAAGGUCUUCGGAUUGUAAAGCACUUUAAGUUGGGAGGAAGGGCAGUAAGUUAAUACCUUGCUGUUUUGACGUUACCAACAGAAGAAGCACCGGCUAACUUCGU
rnacentral:rRNA from 1 species